CGGGCGGCAGCAGUGGGGAAUAUUGCACAAUGGAGGAAACUCUGAUGCAGCGACGCCGCGUGAAGGAUGAAGGCUUUCGAGUCGUAAACUUCUUUUAAGGAAAAGAAAGUCCGCCGCAAGGCGGAUUGAUCUAUCCUAGAAUAAGCAGUGGCUAAUUACGUGCCAGCAGCCGCGGUAAUACGUAAACUGCAAGCGUUAUCCGGAAUUAUUAGGCGUAAAGGGAGCGUAGGCGUUUUGUCAAGUUCCUGGUGAAAUCUUCGGGCUUAACCCGAAAAUUGCUGGGAAAACUGAUAAAAUUGAGUUAAAGAGGGGAGAGUGGAAUUCCUGGUGGAGCGGUGAAAUGUGUAGAUAUCAGGAAGAAUACCAAUGGCGAAGGCAACUCUCUGGCUUUAAACUGACGCUGAAUCUCGAAAGCGUGGGUAUCGAACGGGAUUAGAUACCCCAGUAGUC
rnacentral:rRNA from 1 species